rnacentral:rRNA from 1 species
UAGGGAAUCUUCCGCAAUGGACGCAAGUCUGACGGAGCAACGCCGCGUGAGUGAAGAAGGAUUUCGGUUCGUAAAACUCUGUUGUUAGAGAAGAACAGCGCAUAGAGUAACUGUUAUGCGUGUGACGGUAUCUAACCAGAAAGCCACGGCUAACUACGUGCCAGCAGCCGCGGUAAUACGUAGGUGGCAAGCGUUGUCCGGAUUUAUUGGGCGUAAAGCGAGCGCAGGCGGUCAAUUAAGUCUGAUGUGAAAGCCCCCGGCUCAACCGGGGAGGGUCAUUGGAAACUGGUUGACUUGAGUGCAGAAGAGGAGAGUGGAAUUCCAUGUGUAGCGGUGAAAUGCGUAGAUAUAUGGAGGAACACCAGUGGCGAAGGCGACUCUCUGGUCUGUAACUGACCCUGAGGCUCGAAAGCGUGGGGAGCGAACAGG